AAUAGAUACCCGGGUAGUCCUAGCCGUAAACGAUGAACACUAGGCGUAGUCGGUAUCGACCCCGGCUGUGCCGUAGCUAACGCAUUAAGUGUUCCGCCUGGGGAGUACGGCCGCAAGGCUAAAACUCAAAGGAAUUGACGGGGGGCCCGCACAAGCAGCGGAGCGUGUGGUUUAAUUCGUCGCAACGCGAAGAACCUUACCAGGGCUUGACAUGUGGCGGAAAACGGCGGAAACGUCGUCCUCCCGCAAGGGACCGUCAUGCAGGUGUUGCAUGGCUGUCGUCAGCUCGUGUCGUGAGAUGUUGGGUUAAGUCCCGCAACGAGCGCAACCCCCGUGGCAUGUUGUAUCUCUCAUGCCAGACUGCCGAGAGAAACUCGGAGGAAGGUGGGAUGACGCCAAGUCAGCAUGGCCCUUACGUCCUGGGCUACACACACGCUACAAUGGCCGGUACAACGGGUUGCCAAACCGCGAGGUGGAGCUAAUCCCUUAAAGCCGGUCUCAGUUCGGAUUGCAGGCUGCAACUCGCCUGCAUGAAGCC
rnacentral:rRNA from 1 species